UUAAGCGACUAAGCGUACACGGUGGAUGCCCUGGCAGUCAGAGGCGAUGAAGGACGUGCUAAUCUGCGAUAAGCGUCGGUAAGGUGAUAUGAACCGUUAUAACCGGCGAUUUCCGAAUGGGGAAACCCAGUGUGUUUCGACACACUAUCAUUAACUGAAUCCAUAGGUUAAUGAGGCGAACCGGGGGAACUGAAACAUCUAAGUACCCCGAGGAAAAGAAAUCAACCGAGAUUCCCCCAGUAGCGGCGAGCGAACGGGGAGCAGCCCAGAGCCUGAAUCAGUGUGUGUGUUAGUGGAAGCGUCUGGAAAGGCGUGCGAUACAGGGUGACAGCCCCGUACACAAAAAUGCACAUGCUGUGAGCUCGAUGAGUAGGGCGGGACACGUGGUAUCCUGUCUGAAUAUGGGGGGACCAUCCUCCAAGGCUAAAUACUCCUGACUGACCGAUAGUGAACCAGUACCGUGAGGGAAAGGCGAAAAGAACCCCGGCGAGGGGAGUGAAAAAGAACCUGAAACCGUGUACGUACAAGCAGUGGGAGCACGCUUAGGCGUGUGACUGCGUACCUUUUGUAUAAUGGGUCAGCGACUUAUAUUCUGUAGCAAGGUUAACCGAAUAGGGGAGCCGAAGGGAAACCGAGUCUUAACUGGGCGUUAAGUUGCAGGGUAUAGACCCGAAACCCGGUGAUCUAGCCAUGGGCAGGUUGAAGGUUGGGUAACACUAACUGGAGGACCGAACCGACUAAUGUUGAAAAAUUAGCGGAUGACUUGUGGCUGGGGGUGAAAGGCCAAUCAAACCGGGAGAUAGCUGGUUCUCCCCGAAAGCUAUUUAGGUAGCGCCUCGUGAAUUCAUCUCCGGGGGUAGAGCACUGUUUCGGCAAGGGGGUCAUCCCGACUUACCAACCCGAUGCAAACUGCGAAUACCGGAGAAUGUUAUCACGGGAGACACACGGCGGGUGCUAACGUCCGUCGUGAAGAGGGAAACAACCCAGACCGCCAGCUAAGGUCCCAAAGUCAUGGUUAAGUGGGAAACGAUGUGGGAAGGCCCAGACAGCCAGGAUGUUGGCUUAGAAGCAGCCAUCAUUUAAAGAAAGCGUAAUAGCUCACUGGUCGAGUCGGCCUGCGCGGAAGAUGUAACGGGGCUAAACCAUGCACCGAAGCUGCGGCAGCGACGCUGAUGCGUUGUUGGGUAGGGGAGCGUUCUGUAAGCCUGCGAAGGUGUGCUGUGAGGCAUGCUGGAGGUAUCAGAAGUGCGAAUGCUGACAUAAGUAACGAUAAAGCGGGUGAAAAGCCCGCUCGCCGGAAGACCAAGGGUUCCUGUCCAACGUUAAUCGGGGCAGGGUGAGUCGACCCCUAAGGCGAGGCCGAAAGGCGUAGUCGAUGGGAAACAGGUUAAUAUUCCUGUACUUGGUGUUACUGCGAAGGGGGGACGGAGAAGGCUAUGUUGGCCGGGCGACGGUUGUCCCGGUUUAAGCGUGUAGGCUGGUUUUCCAGGCAAAUCCGGAAAAUCAAGGCUGAGGCGUGAUGACGAGGCACUACGGUGCUGAAGCAACAAAUGCCCUGCUUCCAGGAAAAGCCUCUAAGCAUCAGGUAACAUCAAAUCGUACCCCAAACCGACACAGGUGGUCAGGUAGAGAAUACCAAGGCGCUUGAGAGAACUCGGGUGAAGGAACUAGGCAAAAUGGUGCCGUAACUUCGGGAGAAGGCACGCUGAUAUGUAGGUGAAGUCCCUUGCGGAUGGAGCUGAAAUCAGUCGAAGAUACCAGCUGGCUGCAACUGUUUAUUAAAAACACAGCACUGUGCAAACACGAAAGUGGACGUAUACGGUGUGACGCCUGCCCGGUGCCGGAAGGUUAAUUGAUGGGGUCAGCGCAAGCGAAGCUCUUGAUCGAAGCCCCGGUAAACGGCGGCCGUAACUAUAACGGUCCUAAGGUAGCGAAAUUCCUUGUCGGGUAAGUUCCGACCUGCACGAAUGGCGUAAUGAUGGCCAGGCUGUCUCCACCCGAGACUCAGUGAAAUUGAACUCGCUGUGAAGAUGCAGUGUACCCGCGGCAAGACGGAAAGACCCCGUGAACCUUUACUAUAGCUUGACACUGAACAUUGAGCCUUGAUGUGUAGGAUAGGUGGGAGGCUUAGAAGUGUGGACGCCAGUCUGCAUGGAGCCGACCUUGAAAUACCACCCUUUAAUGUUUGAUGUUCUAACGUGGACCCGUGAUCCGGGUUGCGGACAGUGUCUGGUGGGUAGUUUGACUGGGGCGGUCUCCUCCUAAAGAGUAACGGAGGAGCACGAAGGUUGGCUAAUCCUGGUCGGACAUCAGGAGGUUAGUGCAAUGGCAUAAGCCAGCUUGACUGCGAGCGUGACGGCGCGAGCAGGUGCGAAAGCAGGUCAUAGUGAUCCGGUGGUUCUGAAUGGAAGGGCCAUCGCUCAACGGAUAAAAGGUACUCCGGGGAUAACAGGCUGAUACCGCCCAAGAGUUCAUAUCGACGGCGGUGUUUGGCACCUCGAUGUCGGCUCAUCACAUCCUGGGGCUGAAGUAGGUCCCAAGGGUAUGGCUGUUCGCCAUUUAAAGUGGUACGCGAGCUGGGUUUAGAACGUCGUGAGACAGUUCGGUCCCUAUCUGCCGUGGGCGCUGGAGAACUGAGGGGGGCUGCUCCUAGUACGAGAGGACCGGAGUGGACGCAUCACUGGUGUUCGGGUUGUCAUGCCAAUGGCACUGCCCGGUAGCUAAAUGCGGAAGAGAUAAGUGCUGAAAGCAUCUAAGCACGAAACUUGCCCCGAGAUGAGUUCUCCCUGACCCUUUAAGGGUCCUGAAGGAACGUUGAAGACGACGACGUUGAUAGGCCGGGUGUGUAAGCGCAGCGAUGCGUUGAGCUAACCGGUACUAAUGAACCGUGAGGCUUAACCUU
rnacentral:rRNA from 1 species